CCUACGGGGGGCUGCAGUGGGGAAUAUUGCACAAUGGGGGAAACCCUGAUGCAGCGACGCCGCGUGAAGGAAGAAGUAUUUCGGUAUGUAAACUUCUAUCAGCAGGGAAGAAAAUGACGGUACCUGACUCAGAAGCCCCGGCUAACUACGUGCCAGCAGCCGCGGUAAUACGUAGGGGGCAAGCGUUAUCCGGAUUUACUGGGUGUAAAGGGGGCGUAGGCGGUUUAGCAAGUCAGAAGUGAAAGUCCGGGGCUCAACUCCGGGAUUGCUUUUGAAACUGGUGAACUAGAUUGCAUGAGAGGUAAGUGGAAUUCCUAGUGUAGCGGUGAAAUGCGUAGAUAUUAGGAGGAACACCAGUUGCGAAGGCGGCUUACUGGACUAUAAAUGACGCUGAGGCUCGAAAGCGUGGGGAGCAAACAGGAUUAGAUACCCGAGUAGUC
rnacentral:rRNA from 1 species